AGGCUGGAGGUCGAGAGCUGCGGCCAGGAGCGAGCCGCAGAGGCUGAGCCCUGGCCGCCUGGCAUUCUUCCCCUCCUCCACGGGUGGAGGCGCGACGAGUAAAACCUCGGGGUCCGAGGCGAUCACAAGCGGAUCAGAGGCUUGUGGAGAGCUCCUGACUGCGGACCCCAGCCUCAGUUUCCCCUGAGCCCCGCCCGGCGGCGCGAGGGCGGGUGACGUCACGGCGCAAAGCAUUGUGGGGCGGGCGCGGCGCCGGCGACGCCAUUUUCGGCGGCGGAGGGUGGCGCGAGGCUGCGGAGCGCGGGUCAGGGUGAGGAUGCUGCGGGGCGGCUGCGGAGGCGCCGCUUGCUGCUGAGGCGGCUGGGCUCUGUGCGGCCUCGGCCUGUGACAGCGCGACGAGCGCGGCGCUCCCGAUCGGACGAAUGUACGACAACAUGUCCACAAUGGUGUACAUAAAGGAAGAGAAGCUGGAGAAGCUCACGCAGGAUGAGAUCAUUUCUAAGACCAAGCAGGUGAUUCAGGGGCUGGAAGCCCUGAAGAAUGAGCACAACUCCAUCCUGCAGAGUCUGCUGGAGACGCUGAAGUGCUUGAAGAGGGACGAUGAGAGCAACCUGGUGGAGGAGAAGUCCAGCAUGAUCCGAAAGUCCCUGGAGAUGCUGGAGCUUGGCCUUAGCGAGGCGCAGGUGAUGAUGGCCCUGUCCAAUCACCUGAAUGCCGUGGAGUCAGAGAAGCAGAAGCUCCGUGCUCAGGUUCGACGUCUGUGCCAGGAGAACCAGUGGCUGCGGGAUGAGCUGGCCAACACACAGCAGAAGUUACAGAAGAGUGAGCAGUCAGUGGCUCAGCUGGAGGAGGAGAAGAAGCACCUGGAGUUCAUGAACCAGCUGAAAAAGUAUGACGAUGACAUCUCUCCCUCGGAGGACAAAGACUCUGAUUCUGCCAAAGAGCCGUUGGAUGACCUCUUCCCGAAUGACGAGGAUGAACCAGGACAAGGAAUCCAGCAGCAGCACAGCAGCGCUGCAGCUGCCGCCCAGCAGGGCGGCUACGAGAUCCCUGCAAGGCUGCGCACGCUCCACAACCUGGUGAUCCAGUAUGCUUCGCAGGGGCGUUACGAGGUGGCCGUGCCACUCUGCAAGCAGGCCCUGGAGGACCUGGAGAAGACUUCCGGCCACGACCACCCUGAUGUGGCCACCAUGCUCAACAUCCUGGCCCUGGUGUACAGGGAUCAGAACAAGUAUAAAGACGCAGCUAACCUCCUGAACGACGCCCUGGCUAUCCGUGAGAAAACCCUGGGCAGAGAUCACCCCGCGGUGGCAGCAACUCUGAACAACCUAGCAGUUCUGUAUGGUAAGAGAGGGAAGUACAAGGAGGCGGAGCCGCUGUGUAAACGAGCCCUGGAGAUCAGAGAGAAGGUUCUGGGAAAAGACCAUCCUGAUGUUGCCAAACAGCUAAAUAACUUGGCCUUACUGUGCCAGAACCAGGGCAAGUAUGAGGAGGUCGAGUAUUACUACCAAAGGGCCCUGGAGAUCUACCAGACGAAGCUGGGGCCUGACGAUCCCAACGUGGCCAAGACGAAGAACAACCUGGCUUCCUGUUAUCUGAAACAAGGGAAGUUCAAACAAGCGGAAACGUUGUACAAGGAGAUUCUUACCCGCGCACAUGAACGGGAAUUUGGAUCUGUGGAUGAUGAAAACAAGCCCAUCUGGAUGCAUGCUGAGGAGAGAGAAGAGUGCAAAGGAAAGCAGAAGGACGGGUCGUCUUUUGGAGAGUAUGGUGGCUGGUAUAAAGCCUGCAAAGUGGACAGUCCCACUGUCACAACCACUUUGAAAAACCUUGGAGCACUUUACCGUCGGCAGGGGAAGUUCGAAGCUGCAGAGACCUUGGAGGAAGCUGCUAUGAGGUCACGUAAACAGGGUCUUGACAAUGUUCACAAACAGAGGGUGGCUGAAGUACUAAAUGACCCUGAGAGCGUGGAGAAGCGGAGGAGCCGGGAGAGUCUCAACGUGGACGUGGUCAAGUACGAGAGUGGCCCUGACGGAGGGGAGGAAGUGAGUAUGAGCGUAGAGUGGACUGCGGUAAGUACAGCGCUGGCUGCACGCUGGCUGCACGGGCGGGCGGACCUCCUGCCUCCCCGCGGCACUCGCUGCCUGCUCUGUCUGUGCUAGACUCCACACUUGUCGCAAAUUAAGCAUCAGGGAAGCUUUCUGUAAGUUCCUAACUUCUGCUAACUCUGAGCUGUGUUGCUUGCAGUGGUUUUCUUUAGGAAUCCGUGAAAGCUGACUGGCCUCUCGUAGAGCAUGUGUGCAUGCUGAUUGAGUGUCCUGGCCGUGUAAAAACCCCCUCCACACUCUGGUCUCCUGUAACCUGGGGAUGGGCAUGGCUGACUAACUAGCUUCCCUAACUCCCCAUGUCCUGCUAACUCAGUGCUCCUGACACCCUCAGGAGGCUGCCCUGGGGCUGCUAGAGAGCCUCGCUGGGAACUGGUGCUAAGUGCAGCUCAGCAAGCAACUCAGGGCAGGCGUGUUAGGACUGCUCUCCACGCUGGACGUGACAGGGGUCGCCACCUGCUCAUGUGUGACACAGUGUCGGCCGGCUCCCUGGCCUCUCCUGGGAGGUCGUCACCACUGCUUUCUACCCAGGAUUGUGGCAGUGUGUAAUGUAGGUGUCACCUGUGCUGAGCUGGCGUCUCUGGACCUUUCUUCAGGGAGAGUGUUAAGAGGUCUCAGCAGACCAAGCAUAUCUGUGACACCCUGGGCUCCUACCGGUGGUGUGCCUAGCCGUCACUAUGUGGCUUUGUCAGGUCGUUGCUUGGGACUUUCUUCUAGUCUGUCCUGGUUCUUGGAUUGAUCGGCUCUAGAAUUUACUUAGCUGCAGCAGUUUGGAGGAGCCAGUGUGUUGACGAAACCUCAUGUGAAGUGUUGGUGGCCGCGGUUCAGGAAGACAUCCUCUCUGUGCCUAGCAGCUUCCUUGUGCCAGCCCAGCCAAUCGCAUCCACUGACUGCUGAGCCUUGCUGGGCAGUGGUCCUAAACUGCAGCAGAGGCCUGGGUCUUCCUGCCCAUGCCUGUCCUGUCAGCACUCCUUGUCCGCUCCAGUCCUGCAUGCUUGUCCAGAGGGCCUGUUCUGCUUGGUGGCCAGUGGCUUGCUUACAGACUUAAUGCUCUCGAGUGAAGUUCAGAGAGCUCUCUCCUGAGACAGUAUUUCUAGGUCUAUAAGUAUGUGAGUCUUGUGCCACAGACAAUGUCACCAACUCUGAGUCCCUCACCUGCCCUGGGCACUUGGGGAGGAGUGCACGGGAGGGAGCUGUCAGUGUGCUCUCUCCUCCCAGGCUCCCGUCCCCAGCCCCAUGCGAGAGUGUGUGUGUGUGUGCGCGUGCACUCACAUGAGCGUGUGCACACAAGUGAGUGUUAGAGACUGACCUCUGCUUCAUGCGUGUCAGGCAAAUGCCCCAUCACUGAACUGUCCACAGCCUUGUAGUCUCAGCAGAUGCUCAAGCUGUCCUUGUACUUACUUGGCAUCCUCCUGCCUCAGCCUUCCGGGUGCUGGGAAUACAGGUGUGCACAGCACGCUUAGCUUACAAUUAUACCUUGUUGUUCUCUCUCUGUGUGUGUGUGUGUGUGUGUGUGUGUGUGUGUGUGUGUGUGUGUUUGAGACGGGGUUUCUCUGCGUGGCCCAGGCUGUCCUAGAAUUAGACACUGAAACUCCGACGUCUGCCUGCCUCUCCCAACUCCGUGCUGGGGUUAAAGGUGUGCAGCAUCACCGCCUGCCUUGGUUUUUCACUUUUGUACUUUGAAGUAUUGAACAUAAGGUCUUCACUCACAGUCAUUCUCACUCACACACUGCACACUCACUCAUACUCACACACUGGCACACACAUACAUGCUCACUCACACACUAGCACACUCACAUGCUCACUCUCACACACUGGCAUACUCACAGUCAUACUCAGCCUCAGUCACACACUGGCACACUCACUCAUACACACUGCCACACUCACUCAUACACUCACACACUAGCAUACUCACACCCCUACUCACUCUUACUGGUACACUCACUCAUUCACACUCACUCUCACACACUGGCAUACUCACACACAGAGGCAUACUCACACUCCUACUCACUCUCACUUACACACUGGCACAGUCACACUCACUCAGUCAUACACUCAGACUCACACUCAUACCCAAUCACUCACACUCUUACAUACUCUCACACUUACCCACACUCACUUGCUCACACACACACUCACACUGAUUCACUCACACAUACAUAUCCACUCACACACACUCACACUCACUAUGUAGCCCUGGCUGGUCUGAAACUUGACAUGUAGACCAGGUUGGCCUUGAUCUCAGAGAUGCCUGCAUCUGACUCAAGUUCUGAGAUUAGAGCUGUACCAAGUCUGAACUCACAGAUCCGCCUGCCUCUGCCUCCGAGUGCUGGGUUUAAAGGCUUGCCUCACCACUUCCUGGGUUACAGUUGUAAUUUUUAGAAGACUUCUGUGCUCUUUAAAAUACCACAGCUAUCCAUCCUUUGUUCUCUUGGGUGUUUACAGCUUCGGCCAAAGUGAAUUUACAGGAACAGAUGGUAGUUGAUUAAAUCACAAACACAAUUUAUACGGAAAUUCAGGGCUUUUUUUGAGUGUUCAGAAAUAGAAUUUAAAAUAGGAUAAAGUUUGUCAAAGACAAGGCUUGCUAGGUAGUAACCGUGGCUCUGCAGAGGCUUGGCUAUGUGCUCGUGGCGGAGAGCCCGGGCAUGAAGACACAGGGUUCUUAGGCCACUCUGAAUCAGGUUCUUGAGCGCACAGUGGGCCUGCCUGGGAGUACUGCAGUUCCUCUUCAGUGUACAGGUGAUGAUGUGGUCACACCUCGUGAGGAGGGCUCCCUCAGGCUUUCUCGAGGCUGAGGUGCGAUGUGCCUUUAGCAGGCACUGCAAUAGCAGGUCACUCUCCAGCAGGGUGCAUUUUUGAGAGAGCUGCUUUGUGGCCAUUCAUCCUUUUCAGUUUUCUGAAAAGGUCAGUUUUCUUCAUUGCCCUGGACCCCUGUGAUUCUGGGUCUAUUGUGAGAGGUGUGUCAGUCAUGGGCACUGGCCCCAGCUAAGAUGGAGCCAUGCUGGGCUGUCUGGUGUGAAGUUAUCUGCAGACAGUUUACUGUGCAGCACCACGUGAUGUGUUCUCCAUGGGCCAGAACCCCCAGGACAGCCUCCAUCUUUGCUGCUUCUUUUUCUUGGGAUCCCUGAGAAGCAGCCUCCUGCCUAUCUUUUCUUAUGCCACAUUGCUCUUGUGCUGAGACUUCUACAAGUGUGCGUGUGUGUGCGCGCGUGUGCGUGUGUGUAUACUGCUUCAGUACUGGGGAUUGAACCAUCCACGUGGAAGGGAAGGGCUCUACAACUGACCGUAUCUCUGCCUGCUUUACUUUUGUUUGAGACAGGAUAUACUAUGGAGCCCAGGCUGGCCUCAGACUCAGGCUUCUCCUGUGUUAGUUUCCCAGGUGUGGGGUUAUAGACAUGUGCCCCAGUGCCUGGCUUCUACAAGUUGUUUUUUGUUUUUGUUUUUCAAGACAGGGUCUCUCUAAAUGGCCCUGGCUGUCCUGAAACUCACUCUGUAGGCCAGGCUGGCCUGAAUUCACAGAGAUCCUCCUGUCUGUGCCUCCUGAGUGCUGGGAUUAAAGGUGUGCGUCACCUUAUUUCGAUCUUUGAGACAGGACCUCACUGUGUAGCGCUGGUUGGGGAAUUUAUAGAGAUCUGUGUGCCUGUGACUCCUGAGGUCUGGAAUUUAGGGUGUGGGCUAGUAGGCUCACUUUGACUUUCACAGGUUUUAAUGUAUGAAAUUCCUACUUAAGGGUCUUAGGGAAUGAGAGAACUGUUAGUUCAAAGUAGAUUUUUAUUUAUGGGAAGACAUGCUAAGAAGGCAGCAAGAGUAUACUAAGAAGUUAUAAAAAUGUCACAUGUAUAAUUCUAUUGUACAGAGAUACUAAAUACUUAAAUCAAUACAUUAUAUGAUUUAUUUCUGUUCAGAAACUCGCCUUGAGAGCUUACAAAAUGCUCAGUGGGUAAAGGCAGUUGCCAUUCAAGUGGCCUGAAGUUUAAUCCCCAGGAUAUCCGUGGUGGACAGUUAUCCUCUGAAUACUGGAAUACAUGUGCAAGUGUGUACACACACGAUCCAUGUAAUUUAAAAUAGAAACCACUCCUGGGUUUAUGCAGUAGGAACAUCUUUUGUGGCAGUGUAAAUGAGUGUCAGAUACAGUGAGCCUUGGGCAAUGCUGAUGGGAUUUGUCUGCUUGAGUUUUAGUCAGCCAUUGUCCAUCUCCUCUGGGGUGCAGGUGCUGAGUGGACAGCCUGCCACAUCCCCUCCCUUGUAGGUAGCAGCUCACCUGGGUCCUCAAGCUUCUAGGUGGUGGUGGUAGCUGCCUGGACCACGCCCAAGUCUGUUUGCCCUGAUCCCUUGUCAGCUGCCCCCCCCCCCCCAGUUGCUUAGAGAGAAAGCAUCUACUGUGAUCCAUGUGAACCCGGGAAUGGAGGCGAGCAUCUUGCCAUGGGCACAGGACCUGAGGGCAGUGGUCUGGCUGUGUGGGAGCGACACGAAGCUACACAGCAUUCAGUGUCCUCUUCAGACGGGGGGUUGGUGUUUUCUUGUCCUCCUGGCACUCACGAGCCAUUGGUAACAAGUUUUAUUUUUCAUUUUAAAGAUGAGAAAGAUGAAGCUCGGGCUGGUUAAAUGACUUGCUCGGCGUCCCAUGGCCUAGCCGCCCGGUGCCUCCCCUCUGCUCCUGCAUGACGGGCAGCGCCUCCUCCGGUCCCUCCAGCGCUGUCCGCUGUCUAGCAGCCCUAGGAACUUGUCAGCAGCACCUCUGGGACUGGCCCCUCCUUUCGGUGCUGCUGUCCUUUUGGGGUCUUGAUUUCUGGAUACAUGUAGCUUUGCCAGAUACGUACUUAGAAAUAUCAGCCGUGUUCAUAAGCCCAUUAAAAUGUGUAACACACAGUCUAACAGUUAGGAGAGAGUAGCUGUUCACCUUGAGGACAGGCGUUAGUGUCACCAGGUGUAUUACAGUGGCAUGGUAGUGACCUGUGCAGUCACUGAGCUGUAGGAGCGAGGCCUGGCCUGUGCUGCACGUCCCUGUCGUCCUUAGAGACCUGGCCGGUGCCCUGUACAGGUCCUCCCCAGUACACCACACACUGACGUAGAUUUGCUGUGUAGUCUUGGUGUGGAAAUUUGAAUUCUGCUUUUCUCUACUAAUCUGAAGUGCUCUGUGAUGUGUGUAUGUGUCUUUCUAACUUCUAAUAAACUCACUCCAACUGACCUG